rnacentral:lncRNA from 1 species
CUCCUCCCAACUCCCAUCACUACAACUUCAGCUUCUCCCCCUGAUUUUUAAUGCACCAAGCGUGCAAGACUCGAGGCUCUGGAAAAAAGAUGUCCCGAAAGGCGAGCACUUGCCGUAUACCAACUCAGCUGCUCACGAUCCAACUCAUUCUGCUAGUUUUCUUGAUUGGUGGCAGCCUCCCCAGCACAGCAAGAGCUUAUCUUCUUGGUGUGAGGAGCGUACACUACCGCCCGAAUCCCCUUGAUAAAUCGGGAAACUGUGAGUAUAGUAGUAUACUGAAGUCAUUACUAACAGCAAUCAAAUUGUGAGUAGGAGCAUGUGAAGGGUAUUGCUAUCCCGUUCUGACCUCUUGUUGAAUGCUUAUCAACUAGUAUUUCCUUUUACCAUUUCUGCAGUAAAUCCUCAUGGCGAACCAGAAACCGCUGGAGCAAAUCCUCGUGGUUCCCGAAGGGUCCCUUGGGACACAAGAAAUCACAAGCACAGAGGCUGAGAAGCGUGGACGCAGUGAGACAAAGGGAUUAGUUGAUGGGCGUGCUACUUGUACUUGUGAGCUAUGCAGCUUGUUAAACAAAGUUUAUAUGCAACUAGUCAUUUCUGUUGGGCAGUUGGGCAGUUGGGCAGGCAAAAAACCAUCAUCUACACUUUGUUUGGUUGCUUGCAUAUAGGCUGCCUGCAUUAGGGGAGUAUUUUCUGCCUGCUGUUUGGUUGCGUGCAUUGGCUUGGCAGAUGGAAGUGCCCGGUGUUUGGUUGCAUACAUGCAACGUGAGUAGGAGUUAAUACCUACACAUGACACACUUAGUUAGAGUAGAGU